rnacentral:lncRNA from 1 species
GUCAGAACAUGGGUGUUAAGCUCUUCCUCCUUUCUUGGCCCCUUCCCCUUGAGGUUUCUCUGCAGCUGAGCAGCACUGUGGACAUCUGUGAUGGGCUCCCGCUCAGGAGACAACCUUCCCCUAAUGCUGGACCUCAGGGCUCCUGGGACUUAUUGGUCUCCUCAGUGCUGCUCAGGAUCCAAGACCUCUGGUAAAAACUUGUUUUUCUCAUCACUUCUCCUGGAAAAACCGUGGAAAAAUUAACA